ACAAUGGAGAGUUUGAUCCUGGCUCAGGAUGAACGCUAGCGGCAGGCCUAACACAUGCAAGUCGAGGGCACAGCAAUGAGACCGGCGCACGGGUGCGUAACGCGUAUGCAAUCUACCUUAUACUAAGGGAUAGCCCAGAGAAAUUUGGAUUAAUACCUUAUAGUUAAUUGAAAAGGCAUCUUUUUAAUUAUUAAAGAUUAAUUGGUAUAAGAUGAGCAUGCGUCCCAUUAGUUAGUUGGUAAGGUAACGGCUUACCAAGACGAUGAUGGGUAGGGGUCCUGAGAGGGAGAUCCCCCACACUGGUACUGAGACACGGACCAGACUCCUACGGGAGGCAGCAGUGAGGAAUAUUGGUCAAUGGGCGCAAGCCUGAACCAGCCAUGCCGCGUGCAGGAUGACGCAUCUAUGGUGUGUAAACUGCUUUUGUACAGGAAGAAACCUACUCUCGUGAGAGUAAGCUGAAGGUACUAUACGAAUAAGCACCGGCUAACUCCGUGCCAGCAGCCGCGGUAAUACGGAGGGUGCAAG
rnacentral:ncRNA from 1 species